AUGUGAUGCUGAUAUGUGCUUCAUCAAUGUCAUAGCCAAAUGGCCUGGGUCAGUGCACGACGCGCGAAUUUUGAGACAAUCGCCCCUGUUUGCGGACUAUGAAGAAAACAAACCUCCACUAAACGGCAUUAUACUGGAAGAUAGUGGAUACAUGGCUCGAACGUGGCUCAUGACACCCAUUAUGAACCCAACUACAAGAAAACGGACAAAUUUCAACUUUGCUCACUCGUCAAUACGAACAACUGUUGAACGAAGCAUUGGUGUGGUUAAACAAAGAUUUCAUUGUCUCCGUUGUGGUUUACCACUGCAACCCCCCCCCCCCCCCCCCCCCCCCCCAAAGCCUGCAAAGUCAUUAUUGUGUGUUUCAUGUUGCACAACCAUACAAGACGUCAGAAUCUUCCACCACCCGACGAUGCAACAAACCCUUCAAGCAUUUCAGAAGAUGGGGAUGAUGGGGACGAUUGUACUACCCAGCAAACCAUAUCAGAGAGAACAAGAACAGCGGCAGGGAAAACAGUUAGAGACAGAAUAAUCAACGAAUGCUUUUAAAAGCUGCAUUCUACGCUUGGAAUAGGUAGUUUGCUCUUCCUCUUUGUUGUCUGCUUAGUAGAAUACACGGAUCUUGUAUUACUCGACGAACCAAUGGAAUUGAAGGUUGAUGUACUUUCGCCCCCAGUUGAUGAAGAUGGGCCACUAACAUUUUCCUCUGUGUUGUUACCGAUGCACGCGUCAGAUGUAACACUUAAUUCAGCAUUGUUUCCAAUAUCUGUAGGAAAUUAUAAUAAAAAAUGAAAUAAAUACCUUGCAAAUGA